AUGAGUUUGUUAUGUUGGAACUGCCGGGGGGGACCGCGGACAGUUCGCGAGGUUUUGGCCCUCUCUAAAGCCAAUUCCCCGGGGCUUAUAUUCUUAUCUGAAACUAGACAAGCCUCAAGUAAGAUGGAGCGUCUUAAGUGGAGAUUACAGAUGAAGGGUUUUGCGGGGGUAUCGAGCCAGGGUCUGAGUGGUGGCCUGGCUCUGUACUGGGAUGAGAGU
rnacentral:rRNA from 1 species